rnacentral:rRNA from 1 species
GAUGAACGCUGGCGGCGUGCCUAAUACAUGCAAGUCGAGCGAACAGACGAGGAGCUUGCUCCUCUGACGUUAGCGGCGGACGGGUGAGUAACACGUGGAUAACCUACCUAUAAGACUGGGAUAACUUCGGGAAACCGGAGCUAAUACCGGAUAACAUGUUGAACCGCAUGGUUUAACAGUGAAAGACGGUCUUGCUGUCACUUAUAGAUGGAUCCGCGCCGCAUUAGCUAGUGGUAAGGUAACGGCUUACCAAGGCAACGAUGCGUAGCCGACCUGAGAGGGUGAUCGGCCACACUGGAACUGAGACACGGUCCAGACUCCUACGGGAGGCAGCAGUAGGGAAUCUUCCGCAAUGGGCGAAAGCCUGACGGAGCAACGCCGCGUGAGUGAAGAAGGUCUUCGGAUCGUAAAACUCUGUUAUUAGGGAAGAACAAAUGUGUAAGUAACUAUGCACGUCUUGACGGUACCUAAUCAGAAAGCCACGGCUAACUACGUG